rnacentral:rRNA from 1 species
UACGUAGGGGGCAAGCGUUGUCCGGAAUUAUUGGGCGUAAAGCGCUCGUAGGCGGUUUGUCGCGUCUGCUGUGAAAACCUGAGGCUCAACCUUGGGCUUGCAGUGGGUACGGGCAGACUAGAGUGCGGUAGGGGUGACUGGAAUUCCUGGUGUAGCGGUGGAAUGCGCAGAUAUCAGGAGGAACACCGAUGGCGAAGGCAGGUCACUGGGCCGCAACUGACGCUGAGGAGCGAAAGCAUGGGGAGCGAACAGG